AGAUGCAGGUGCUUAAAGCCUUCUGGAGUGGUGUGGCACUGUAUGGGUUGGUGCUUUUUGCUAUUAUAUGAUGAUGCUCUGUGUAUUGUCGCUGUCUCAACUGCAGCAUGUACUGUGACAUAUGCAGGUUAUACUGAGUGCAUCAGCAACCUAACCCUGAUGGUGUGUGCUCAGAAAGCGCAGCAGCAGUUUCAGACUGGAGGGUAAAGAGGGUCCCCUUGCAGAGACAGAGGGAUGCAGAGAGUAUGAUAAAGUACUCAGGUGUAGAGUUUGGAUGAGAAGAACAGAGGGAGUGUAAAGCAUGCUGUACCACUUGCUGGCUCUUCAGCUACACAUCUGUAUGUCAACAAACAUAGGGAACUGGAUGCUGAUGCCACCAAGAACAUUUCUGGUUUUGACACUGGAAAUUAAAUAACAGCUUUAUAAGAAUUGAAGUUGCUGGGAAGAUUCCUGCCUCUCUCAAAAUACAGAGUUCAGCAAAACUCACAUUUUUUAACAAUCUGUUUUGAAUAUUUCAGUCUUGGGUCUUACUUACAUUAAGAUACUUAAAUCAAUCUAGGACAAGCUAUCAUCAUAUUUGUUUUUAGGUGAUUCACCCCAUCCAAACAGAGCUGGUCUCACUGCACAGAACUAUAGCACUACAUGGAUGGCAUAUGUGCAGUGUGCUUUUUAUGUUUGAAAUUUUACAAUCCCUUUGCCUUUACAAAGAGGACACCAUAUUUCUGACUUUAGUACAUAUUAGUUUUUCUAAUAUAAAAACAUAACAGUAGUUAAAAGCUAGGUUGUGUUUUGUUACCUUAACUCCAUACCUCCUAUCUUUCAGAGCUCUGAAUUUGGCUAAAUGUGAUGUUCCCGAAGUAUAAUAGUGGGAAAUCUGUAUCAUCACAACAUGUUACUUUUCAGGAUGUUUACUGGAGGAAAAGGGAAUAUUCCUCCUGCUUUGAUAUGUAGAGUGUGCGUGGCAAGAGGAAGUUGAUUUUUCUCUGUGUAACAUUUUAGUUAAUGCAAGGAAUGCAAAUUAAUUCCUCUGGAUUGAAACUGAACUACAAGGUGCACAAUAGGAACACAUCUAAUACACUCCAGCUGCAAAAGGACAUUCAGUUCAGGGGCCUCCUCUACAGAGAGUCCAAAGGAGAAAAAAAAGGAUAAUAAGGAAAAUACAUUAUGGAACCUUCAGAUCUCCUCAGUCCCAACUAUUUGACUCUUCUCUGUUUGACCACUACUGUUUGACCACAGUAUUUGCUGUUCUAAAUGUAGCCAGGGCAAAUCUACUGCCUAAGUAAAUGGUGGUCCCCUGAGCUGAGGUUUUGAGGUUUGAGGUAUGAUUUCAAACCGCAGCCAGUACAAGGAAAUUACUGUUGAAGGCAAAUGGAGUUUUAAAGGAUUGACCCAAAUCUCAUUAAAGCUGCUGGAUGAUUCAAUCAAUUUUAUGGAGUUUUGCACUAGAUCUAGAAGCUCCAGGUCUUGCUGCCUGCUGAUAGCAUUCAAUAAUUUUGGAAAAACAGAACCCAGUAGAGCGACUUGUCUGUAUGAAUCAGUGAUGUGAGCAGAGAAUGUGGCCAUAACUCUUACUCACACAUUGUUUUAUUUAAUAGAAUAUGAGUGAAGAUUAAUAUAUAUUCCCUCAUGCAGGGGAACAUAUAGCUUGAAAACAUCUGAAAAAGUGAAGUAGUUAUCAAGAAUUCCCAGAAGACCCAUUAGACAUGACUGAUUUUGACUUAAAAAUUACUUCUAAGAUAAAACCAACUAUUUUGGAAUAAGUAUAUCUGCUAUACCAAAUAUUUACUUAUUAAGAUUCAUAUUUACUUAUUAAGAUUAUUUUUUUCUUGCAAUUUAUCAGCAUCCUACUAUAAGAGUUCAUAAAAAACCAAAAACAAAUGAAAAUGUGAAUAUUCUUUGUGAAAGGUAAGACAUUUUGAAUAAAAUAUCUUUGCUUUUCAGUCACUUCUACAUAAGAAAUAUUUAAAAUUUGAGUGUACAUAUCUGUGUAUCUCAAACUUUGACAGAGUUAGAAUGUUCAGUUGUUAACAGUGUGUUUGAAAAUAAAUUGGACGCUUUGAUAUUAAAGUGUCUUCACAGCA